AUUGAACGCUGGCGGCAUGCCUUACACAUGCAAGUCGAACGGCAGCACGGGAGCAAUCCUGGUGGCGAGUGGCGAACGGGUGAGUAAAGCAUCGGAACGUGCCCAGUCGUGGGGGAUAACGUAGCGAAAGCUACGCUAAUACCGCAUACGAUCUGUGGAUGAAAGCGGGGGACCGUAAGGCCUCGCGCGAUUGGAGCGGCCGAUGUCAGAUUAGGUAGUUGGUGGGGUAAAAGCUCACCAAGCCGACGAUCUGUAGCUGGUCUGAGAGGACGACCAGCCACACUGGGACUGAGACACGGCCCAGACUCCUACGGGAGGCAGCAGUGGGGAAUUUUGGACAAUGGGCGCAAGCCUGAUCCAGCAAUGCCGCGUGCAGGAUGAAGGCCUUCGGGUUGUAAACUGCUUUUGUACGGAGCGAAAAGGCUUCCACUAAUACUGGGGGCUCAUGACGGUACCGUAAGAAUAAGCACCGGCUAACUACGUGCCAGCAGCCGCCGUAAUAC
rnacentral:rRNA from 1 species